rnacentral:rRNA from 1 species
UACGUAGGGCGCAAGCGUUGUCCGGAAUUAUUGGGCGUAAAGAGCUCGUAGGUGGCUUGUCACGUCGGGUGUGAAAGCUUGGGGCUUAACUCCAGGUCUGCAUUCGAUACGGGCUGGCUAGAGGUAGGUAGGGGAGAACGGAAUUCCUGGUGUAGCGGUGAAAUGCGCAGAUAUCAGGAAGAACACCCGUGGCUAAGGCGGCUCUCUAGUACGGUACUGACGCUGAGACGCGAAAGCGUGGGGAGCGAACAGG